UGGGAUAUGGUAUGGUGGUGUAUUUUGGUGUGAUAUGAUGUAUCCCAUGGUAUGCCAUACCAUGGGAUACAUCAUAUCACACCAAAAUACACCACCAUACCAUACCCCG